CGAUAUAUGGCAAUGCAGCCAUUGUGGCCAUGUUGAGCUCUGAUAGUGUAUAUGAUAUAUGAAGGUUGAGGACUACAUGCAGGAAGGAGCAAGAAAGUAGGACUAAAUGCAAGAAGGAGCAAGCAAGUAUAAGAGAUUUGUUAAGGAUAAGAUUGUAGGAACAAGUAGAAACUACAAGAAGUGAUUCUGCUAUCUUUUUUAUUUGGGCAGUUAAAAUGGGCUUGGCCCAUGUAUGUAUAGAAUUAGAUUGACCUCUAAAUUUAUGGGCUAUGAUGAAAAUGAAAAUAAAGUUCCUAAUACGGGCUAAGCCCGUAAAUAAA